GGACUACUGGGGUAUCUAAUCCUGUUUGCUCCCCACGCUUUCGCGCCUUAGCGUCAGUGUCGAUCCAGGAGGCCGCCUUCGCCACUGGUAUUCCUUCCUAUAUCUACGCAUUUCACCGCUACACAGGAAAUUCUACCUCCCUCUACCGCACUCUAGUUCGCCAGUUUGAAAUGCAAUUCCCAGGUUAAGCCCGGGGCUUUCACAUCCCACUUAACAAACCGCCUACGCGCGCUUUACGCCCAGUGAUUCCGAUUAACGUUCGCACCCUCCGUAUUACCGCGGCUGCUGGCAC
rnacentral:rRNA from 2 species